AGCGAACGCUGGCGGCAGGCCUAACACAUGCAAGUCGAACGAACCCUUCGGGGUUAGUGGCGGACGGGUGAGUAACACGUGGGAACGUGCCUUUAGGUUCGGAAUAACUCAGGGAAACUUGUGCUAAUACCGAAUGUGCCCUUCGGGGGAAAGAUUUAUCGCCUUUAGAGCGGCCCGCGUCUGAUUAGCUAGUUGGUGAGGUAAUGGCUCACCAAGGCUACGAUCAGUAGCUGGUCUGAGAGGAUGACCAGCCACAUUGGGACUGAGACACGGCCCAAACUCCUACGGUAGGCAGCAGUGGGGAAUCUUGCGCAAUGGGCGAAAGCCUGACGCAGCCAUGCCGCGUGGAUGAUGAAGGUCUUAGGAUUGUAAAAUCCUUUCACCGGUGAAGAUAAUGACUGUAGCCGGAGAAGAAGCCCCGGCUAACUUCGUGCCAGCAGCCGCAGUAACAC
rnacentral:rRNA from 1 species